rnacentral:rRNA from 1 species
GAAAGUCGGAUUAAUACCGCAUGAAACAGGGGUUCCGCAUGGGAAUAUUUGUUAAAGAUUUAUCGCUUGUAGAUGGGCAUGCGUUCCAUUAGAUAGUUGGUGAGGUAACGGCUCACCAAGUCUACGAUGGAUAGGGGUUCUGAGAGGAAGGUCCCCCACACUGGUACUGAGACACGGACCAGACUCCUACGGGAGGCAGCAGUGAGGAAUAUUGGUCAAUGGUCGAGAGACUGAACCAGCCAAGUCGCGUGAAGGAUGAAGGAUCUAUGGUUCGUAAACUUCUUUUAUAAGGGAAUAAAAAGAUCUACGUGUAGGUUAUUGCAUGUACCUUAUGAAUAAGCAUCGGCUAACUCCGUGCCAGCAGCCGCGGUAAUACGGAGGAUGCGAGCGUUAUCCGGAUUUAUUGGGUUUAAAGGGUGCGUAGGUGGUUUUUUAAGUCAGUGGUGAAAGUUUGUCGCUCAACGAUAAAAUUGCCAUUGAAACUGGGAGACUUGAGUAUGUUUGAGGUAGGCGGAAUGCGUGGUGUAGCGGUGAAAUGCUUAGAUAUCACGCAGAACUCCGAUUGCGAAGGCAGCUUACUAAACCAUAACUGACACUGAAGCACGAAAGCGUGGGGAUCAAACAGGAUUAGAUACCCUGGUAGUCCACGCCGUAAACGAUGAUAACUAGGAGUUAGCGAUAGACAGUUAGCUCUACAGCGAAAGCGUUAAGUUAUCCACCUGGGGAGUACGCCGGCAACGGUGAAACUCAAAGGAAUUGACGG